GAAAUAGUGUGGGCCAAUAGAAUCCGCACUGCAAAACCUUUGCAGCCGUCUUUUUACCACUGAAAUGACCACCACAAGCGUGGUCAUGACAAAAGGAAAGGACAUUCCUUUGAUCGUGUUCAGGGAUGCAUCGUCUGAUGAUUUGAUCAGGACAGUAUUUGAACAGGUAUGGUUCAUCCCAAAAAUACCAUUUUACACGAGCUAGGAAGCGAA
rnacentral:lncRNA from 1 species